CUCUGUUGACAGCAAGGGAGAGAGGCGGGUUGAUGCAGGAGAGGAAUUACUGUCCUAUUUCUUCGUGCCAGAAUGAGGAACUGGAAACAGGCUGAAGGGGAAAGGAGCUGGAUGGAUGUCCCAGAGACCUUAAAGGCUCAGAGGAAGACUGGCCAGGCUUAGGUUACUGUCCCUCUGCCCCUUCCCUGGUACCUCUGACACCAAUUAGGAGCUGGGCUUAUUAGCUGUUCUCCUGCACCAGUCUCCAAACACCACCGAGCAGCACCUGAGCCUGGUGCAGGAUGCAGUGUCUCAGGAUGCUGCAACCAAGAGAGAGGUGAGCCCGCACCUGGCAAUGGGGAGCCCAGCCGCAGCCAGAUGUGAGCUCCUUCCCCAUCCUCCCCCCUUCCUCUUGCCCUAGCCUCAGGCCAAACAGGGAAAAUCCUUCAGCAGAACCCCAGCUGGGGCUGCUCGCUGCCUUUCCAUAGCAACAGUCCAUCAGGGGGUCGGAGUCAGCAGUGAAAAAUGCUUUCUCGCCUUGCCUGCCGGUCGCUAUUUUGAUUGCAUUCCUGGGGAGCUGGGCUGCAGAUGUGGUCUCCUUAUCUUGGGAAGGUCUGAGUCAGUUUUUCCCUGUGUGAUGGAGCAGGCAGCUGAGGUCUGGAAGAGGAAUAAAUAGCUUCAAAGGCAUGCUGUUUGGUGGGGAAAAAGUGGUGGUACCACUCUCCAUCCUAUACUCAUGGUGCCCACAUGGCACAGCACGCAUGGAGGAGAUGAAGGAGAUGUCCCUGCAAAGCACGUUCAGACAGCCCUGGUGUCUUGGCCUAAGAAAAAGGAGACCAGGAAUGCUGCUCCUUGGAUGACCUGAGGAACAUUCCCACAAGAGAGGCACCUCACAUUCACCCACCAA